GCGACUUAAGCUUGUGCUCCCUAGUGCACCUGGACUCAUGAAGGAUGUUUCUGGUGACUCGGGGAAAUAACCAAAAGGCCUAUCAAGAGGAACACCGGAUGGAGCAGAUCCCACGUGAUGGUGAUGAGAACCCAGCAAAGAACCAUGGUGUCUAGCAUAUGGAAAACCUUGUCCUUGCCCAUUAGAAGUAAAUGGCUGUCCCGCAGAUGGUGUCGGCCAAGCUGAAGAAUUGGAACGUUCAGCAUAGGGGGUUGGGCUUCCCCAUAGGAACUGAGGACCAGAUAACGUCCCAAUACUGGAUGAAUUGGAAUUCAAGUCAGCAACA
rnacentral:misc_RNA from 1 species